GCCUAACACAUGCAAGUCGAACGGGAACCUCUGGAUUCGUCUGGAGGGGAGAGUGGCGAACGGGUGAGUAACACGUAGGUGACCUGCCCCGAAGACGGGGAUAACUGUUGGAAACGGCAGCUAAUACCCGAUGAACUUGACGAUUCGUUUCGUUGAGUAAAGGCUCCGGUGCUUCGGGAGGGGCCUGCGGCCCAUCAGCUAGUUGGUAGGGUAAUGGCCUACCAAGGCAAGGACGGGUAGGGGGCGUGAGAGCGCGAUCCCCCACACUGGCACUGAGAUACGGGCCAGACUCCUACGGGAGGCAGCAGUGAGGAAUAUUGCCCAAUGGGCGAAAGCCUGAGGCAGCAACGCCGCGUGGGUGAUGAAGGCCUUCGGGUUGUAAAACCCUUUUCUGGGAGAAGAGAAAGGACGGUAUCCCAGGAAUAAGCGUCGGCUAACUACGUGCCAGCAGCCGCGGUAAAACGUAGGACGCAAGCGUUAUCCGGAUUUACUGGGCGUAAAGAGCGUUGAGGCGGUUCCGUAAGUUGGACGUGAAAGCUCCCGGCUUAACUGGGAGAGGCCGUUCAAUACUGCGGGACUUGAGGACAGCAGAGGGGGGUGGAAUUUCCGGUGUAGUGGUGAAAUGCGUAGAUAUCGGAAGGAACACCAGUGGCGAAGGCGGCCCCCUGGGCUGUUUCUGACGCUGGAGGCGAAAGCUAGGGGAGCAAACGGGAUUAGAAACCCCGGUAGUCCUAGCCGUAAACGAUGGAUACUAGGUGUGGGAGAUGGAAAAGUUUUCCGUGCCGGAGCUAACGCGUUAAGUAUCCCGCCUGGGGAUUACGACCGCAAGGUUAAAACUCAAAGGAAUUGACGGGAGCCCGCACAAGCAGCGGAGCGUGUGGUUUAAUUCGAUGCUACGCGAAGAACCUUACCAGGGUUUGACAUGCAAGUGGUAGUGAAGCGAAAGCGGAACGACCCUUCGGGGAGCUUGCACAGGUGCUGCAUGGCUGUCGUCAGCUCGUGCCGUGAGGUGUUAGGUUAAGUCCUGUAACGAGCGCAACCCCUGCUGUCAGUUAUAUGUGUCUGACAGGACUGCCCGGCUCAACCGGGAGGAAGGUGGGGAUGACGUCAAGUCAGCAUGGCCUUUAUAUCCUGGGCUACACACACGCUACAAUGGCCAGUACAAUGGGUAGCCAAGCCGUGAGGCGGAGCCAAUCCUCCAAAGCUGGUCUCAGUUCGGAUUGUAGGCUGCAACUCGCCUACAUGAAGCUGGAGUUGCUAGUAACCGCAGGUCAGCCACACUGCGGUGAUACGUUCCCGGGCUUUGUACACACCGCCCGUCACGUCAUGGGAGUCGGCAACACACUGAAGCCGGUGGGCUAACCGAAAGGA
rnacentral:rRNA from 1 species